GAUGAACGCUAGCGGCAGGCUUAAUACAUGCAAGUCGGGGGGCAGCAUGAGUAGCAAUACUUGAUGGCGACCGGCAAACGGGUGCGGAACACGUACACAACCUUCCGAUAAGUGGGGAAUAGCCCAGAGAAAUUUGGAUUAAUACCCCGUAACAUAUAGAGUAGGCAUCUUCUUUAUAUUAUAGCUUCGGCGCUUAUUGAUGGGUGUGCGUCUGAUUAGGUAGUUGGCGGGGUAACGGCCCACCAAGCCUACGAUCAGUAGCUGAUGUGAGAGCAUGAUCAGCCACGCGGGCACUGAGACACGGGCCCGACUCCUACGGGAGGCAGCAGUAAGGAAUAUUGGACAAUGGGCGAAAGCCUGAUCCAGCCAGGCCGCGUGAAGGAUUAAGGUCCUCUGGAUUGUAAACUUCUUUUAUGUGGGACGAAAAAAGGGAAUUCUUUCCCACUUGACGGUACCAAGUGAAUAAGCACCGGCUAACUCCGUGCCAGCCGCCGCGGUAACAC
rnacentral:rRNA from 1 species